CUGCAGCCAAAUAAAUAGGCUGUGCUCUUUCCCUAUGGGGGCUCAGUGUGCAACGGCUGCAAAGAUAGCCUCCUGGGUAGUGUAUGCAGCCUGUUGAUUGUAUGGGUUGCCCUAAGGGACCCUGGAGAGAGCC
ensembl:snoRNA SNORA70 Small nucleolar RNA SNORA70